rnacentral:rRNA from 1 species
GACAGAGGUGCCAAGCGUUAGGCGGAAUCACUGGGCUUAAAGCGUGUGUAGGCGGAUCGUUAAGUACCUUGUGAAAUCCCACGGCUCAACCGUGGAACUGCUCGGUAUACUGGCGGUCUUGAGCCACCUAGGGGCAACUGGAAACAAGCGGUGGAGCGGUGAAAUGCGUAGAUAUCGCUUGGAACGCCAACGGUGAAAACAGGUUGCUGGGGGUGUGCUGACGCUGAGACACGAAAGCCAGGGGAGCGAACGGG